rnacentral:rRNA from 1 species
UACGUAGGGGGCAAGCGUUGUCCGGAAUCAUUGGGCGUAAAGAGCGCGUAGGCGGCCCUGUAAGUCCGCUGUGAAAGUCAAGGGCUCAACCCUUGAAUGCCGGUGGAUACUGCAGGGCUAGAGUCCGGAAGAGGCGAGUGGAAUUCCUGGUGUAGCGGUGAAAUGCGCAGAUAUCAGGAGGAACACCGAUGGCGAAGGCGGCUCGCUGGGACGGUACUGACGCUGAGGCACGAAAGCGUGGGGAGCAAACAGG